rnacentral:rRNA from 1 species
AGAGUUUGAUCCUGGCUCAGGAUGAACGCUGGCGGCGUGCCUAACACAUGCAAGUCGAGCGAUUCUUUUCGGAGAAGAGCGGCGGACGGGUGAGUAACGCGUGGGUAACCUGCCCUGUACACACGGAUAACAUACCGAAAGGUAUGCUAAUACGGGAUAAUAUACUUUUGUCGCAUGGCAAAAGUAUCAAAGCUCCGGCGGUACAGGAUGGACCCGCGUCUGAUUAGCUAGUUGGAGAGGUGAUGGCUCACCAAGGCAACGAUCAGUAGCCGACCUGAGAGGGUGAUCGGCCACAUUGGAACUGAGACACGGUCCAAACUCCUACGGGAGGCAGCAGUGGGGAAUAUUGCACAAUGGGCGAAAGCCUGAUGCAGCAACGCCGCGUGAGCGAUGAAGGCCUUCGGGUCGUAAAGCUCUGUCCUCAAGGAAGAUAAUGACGGUACUUGAGGAGGAAGCCCCGGCUAACUACGUGCCAGCAGCCGCGGUAAUACGUAGGGGGCUAGCGUUAUCCGGAAUUACUGGGCGUAAAGGGUGCGUAGGUGGUUUCUUAAGUCAGAGGUGAAAGGCUACGGCUCAACCGUAGUAAGCCUUUGAAACUGAGAAACUUGAGUGCAGGAGAGGAGAGUAGAAUUCCUAGUGUAGCGGUGAAAUGCGUAGAUAUUAGGAGGAAUACCAGUUGCGAAGGCGGCUCUCUGGACUGUAACUGACACUGAGGCACGGAAGCGUGGGGAGCAAACAGGAUUAGAUACCCUGGUAGUCCACGCCGUAAACGAUGAGUACUAGGUGUCGGGGGUUACCCCCCUCGGUGCCGCAGCUAACGCAUUAAGUACUCCGCCUGGGAAGUACGCUCGCAAGAGUGAAACUCAAAUGAAUUGACG